rnacentral:pre_miRNA from 1 species
UUGAGCACAAGUUCAACCUCAAAGAUCUCCGUCUGCCCUCCCUUGCCCACACCCCCACCCCCACCCACUUCCCCGAUUUGUGUCGGGGCGAGCAGGUGGCGAUCUUUGAAGCUGAACUCAUGUUCGA